rnacentral:rRNA from 1 species
UACGAAGGGUGCAAACGUUGCUCGGAAUUAUUGGGCGUAAAGCGCACGUAGGCGGCUUGGCAAGUCGGAUGUGAAAUCCCUCGGCUCAACCAAGGAAGUGCAUCCGAAACUGCUGAGCUUGAGUACUUAAGAGGAUCGCGGAAUUCCCGGUGUAGAGGUGAAAUUCGUAGAUAUCGGGAGGAACACCAGUGGCGAAGGCGGCGAUCUGGGAAGAUACUGACGCUGAGGUGCGAAAGCGUGGGGAGCGAACAGG